AGAACAGAUUUGCUUCUUGCUUCUGAGUGGGAAUACAAAUAAGGAAAUCAAAUCCUAUUGCUUCUUCCUCUCUGGGCCUGCUGCAGGAUCCAGCACGCUGCUCCCCAGGUGCGGGGCAGGCCCAGCAGCAGCUAGGACUGCUGCCCAGAGGUCGGCUCUGUCCUACACCCUCUGAAGCAGUAAGUUUAUUGAAAUUUGCCCUGCCAAUCCAUAUCUGGAAACAGAAAACUGUAGAAGCCAAAGGGAAACAAUCAAGACGCUGAAAACGUUAAACCACGGGAGCAGACCAGCUGAAGGUGAUAGCAAAUUCUCCUCCACAUCAAGUUUUUGGGAUGAAAUUGAACUCCUCCUGCAAGUACAAUGACCCUGCUCUUGAGAAAACUGUGAGUUUGAA
ensembl:lncRNA